rnacentral:rRNA from 1 species
GAGAAAGCUUGCUUUCUUGCUGACGAGCGGCGGACGGGUGAGUAAUGUAUGGGGAUCUGCCCGAUAGAGGGGGAUAACUACUGGAAACGGUGGCUAAUACCGCAUAAUGUCUACGGACCAAAGCAGGGGCUCUUCGGACCUUGCACUAUCGGAUGAACCCAUAUGGGAUUAGCUAGUAGGUGGGGUAAAGGCUCACCUAGGCGACGAUCUCUAGCUGGUCUGAGAGGAUGAUCAGCCACACUGGGACUGAGACACGGCCCAGACUCCUACGGGAGGCAGCAGUGGGGAAUAUUGCACAAUGGGCGCAAGCCUGAUGCAGCCAUGCCGCGUGUAUGAAGAAGGCCUUAGGGUUGUAAAGUACUUUCAGCGGGGAGGAAGGUGAUAAGGUUAAUACCCUUAUCAAUUGACGUACCCGCAGAAGAGCACCGCA